rnacentral:rRNA from 1 species
UUGGUCAUUUAGAGGAAGUAAAAGUCGUAACAAGGUCUCCGUUGGUGAACCAGCGGAGGGAUCAUUACAGAGUUGCAGAACUCCCAAACCCUUGUGAAUAUACCCGUUACCGUUGCUUCGGCGGGCGGCCCCAGGGCGGGGCCGUUGCCUCCCCGUUGCGGAGGUGCUCGCCAGAAGCCCAACCACAACACUCUUGUCUUACCACGGCAUCUCUGAGUAAAACAUUUAAUAAGUCAAAACUUUCAACAACGGAUCUCUUGGUUCUGGCAUCGAUGAAGAACGCAGCGAAAUGCGAUAAGUAAUGUGAAUUGCAGAAUUCAGUGAAUCAUCGAAUCUUUGAACGCACAUUGCGCCCGCCAGUAUUCUGGCGGGCAUGCCUGUUCGAGCGUCAUUUCAACCCUCAAGCCCUGCUUGGUGUUGGGGCCCUACGGGCUCCGUAGGCCCCGAAAACUAGUGGCGGGCUCGCUAUAACUCCGAGCGUAGUACAAGUAUCUCGCUAGGGAAGUGUGGCGGGCUCUCGCCGUAAAACCCCCAUCUCACAAAAGGUUGACCUCGGAUCAGGUAGGAAUACCCGCUGAACUUAAGCAUAUCAAUA